UUUUUUUUUAUUUUGGCGCAUUCAGUAACAAAAUUUGAUAAAGAGAAACUACAAAAUAUAACAAAUUCUGAUGAAUACAAAAUACAAAAUUUUGACAGACACUGCUAAAAACAGUAAAAUACACCUAAGGGUGGAAAAAAUAGACCAAAUGGACAAAACAUCAGGUUACAGUUAGUCCUGAACAACACGUAGAUGCCACCUACAGAUUCUGAAUUUUAGACUGUGAACUACUUUUUUAAGUGCACAUGAUGUAUCUAUAAACACCAACCACAUUAUUAGGCCAAAAUAAAAGCAAUUAGUAUUCUGAACAUGGUAUCACCAUGAAUCAAAGAGGAAAUUUAAAACAAAAUGAUAGAAUGCAGGUACACCUCAGAGAUAUUGUGGGUUCAGCUCCAGGCCACUGCAAUAAAGUGAAUAUCACAAUAAGGUGAGUUACACACAUAUUUUAGUUUCCUAGUGCAUAUAUAAGUUAGGUUUACACUAUAUUGUAGUCUAUUAAGUAUGAAAUAGCAUUACGUCUAAAAAUGUAAUGCGCAUACCUUAUUUUAAGAUACUUUAGUGCUAAAAAAUAGUAACAAUCCUCCAAGCCUUCAGCAAGCCAUAAUCUUUUUGUUGGUGGAGGGCCUUGCUUGGAUGUUGGUGGCUGAUGACUGAUCAGGGUGGUGGCUGCUGGAGGUUGGGGUGGCUGUGGCAAUUUUGUAAAAUGACACAACGGUGAAGUCUGCCCCGUCAAUGGAGUCUUCCUUCCAUACAAGAUGUUUCUGCAGCAUGCAAUGCUGUUUGAUAACAUUUUACUCACAGGGCUUCUUUCAAAAUUGGACUCAAUCCACUCAAACCCUGCUGCUGCUUUAUCAACAAAGUAUAAAGGAUAUUCCAAAACCUUUGCUGUGUUUUCAACAAUGUUCACAUUGUUUUCACCACGAGAAGUUUCCCUCUCAAUAAACUACUUUCUUUGAUCAUCCCUAAGAAGCUGCCCCUCAUUCAUUCAAGCUUUAUCAAGACAUUGCAGCAAUUUAGCCACAGAGGUGCCACCUCUAAUUCUAGUUCUCUUGCUGUUUCCACCACAUCUGCAGUGACUCCCUCCACUGAAACCUUCAGCUCCUCAAAGCCAUUCCUGAGGGCUGGAAUCAACUUCUUCUAAACUCCUAUCAAUGUUGAUAUUUUGACCUCCUCUCAUGAAUCACAAAUGCUCCUAAUGACGUUUAGAAUGGUGAAUCCUCUCCACAAGGUUUGCAAUUGACUUCGCCCAGGUCCAUCAUAGGAAUCACAAUCUAUGGCAGCUAUAGCCUUAUAAAAUGUAUUUCUUAAAGAAUAAGACAUUAACAUUGAAAUUACUCCUUGAUCCAUGGGCUGCAGAAUGGAUGUUGUGUUAACAGCAUGAAAACAAUAUUCAUUCCCUUGAACAUUCUCCAUCACAGCUCUUGGGUGACGAGGCACCUUAUCAAUGAGCAGUGAUAUAGUGAAAGGAAUCUUUUUUCUGAGCAGUAGGUCUCGACAGUGGGCUUAAAUCUUCAGUAGACCACGCCAUACACAGGUGGGCUGUCAUCCGUGCUUUGCUGUCCCACUUACAGAGUCAUGGGCAGAAUAGAUUUUGC
ensembl:lncRNA